rnacentral:rRNA from 1 species
AACGAACGCUGGCGGCAGGCCUAACACAUGCAAGUCGAGCGGACCCUUCGGGGUUAGCGGCGGACGGGUGAGUAACGCGUGGGAAUAUGCCCUUCUCUACGGAAUAGUCCUGGGAAACUGGGGGUAAUACCGUAUACGCCCUUUGGGGGAAAGAUUUAUCGGGGAAGGAUUAGCCCGCGUUGGAUUAGGUAGUUGGUGGGGUAAUGGCCUACCAAGCCGACGAUCCAUAGCCGGUUUGAGAGGAUGAUCAGCCACACUGGGACUGAGACACGGCCCAGACUCCUACGGGAGGCAGCAGUGGGGAAUCUUAGACAAUGGGGGCAACCCUGAUCUAGCCAUGCCGCGUGAGUGAUGAAGGCCUUAGGGUUGUAAAGCUCUUUCAGCUGGGAAGAUAAUGACGGUACCAGCAGAAGAAGCCCCGGCUAACUCCGUG